rnacentral:rRNA from 1 species
GGACGAACGCUGGCGGCGUGCCUAAUACAUGCAAGUCGAGCGAGCGGAACUAACAGAUUUACUUCGGUAAUGACGUUAGGAAAGCGAGCGGCGGAUGGGUGAGUAACACGUGGGGAACCUGCCCCAUAGUCUGGGAUACCACUUGGAAACAGGUGCUAAUACCGGAUAAGAAAGCAGAUCGCAUGAUCAGCUUUUAAAAGGCGGCGUAAGCUGUCGCUAUGGGAUGGCCCCGCGGUGCAUUAGCUAGUUGGCAAGGUAAAGGCUUACCAAGGCGAUGAUGCAUAGCCGAGUUGAGAGACUGAUCGGCCACAUUGGGACUGAGACACGGCCCAAACUCCUACGGGAGGCAGCAGUAGGGAAUCUUCCACAAUGGACGCAAGUCUGAUGGAGCAACGCCGCGUGAGUGAAGAAGGUUUUCGGAUCGUAAAGCUCUGUUGUUGGUGAAGAAGGAUAGAGGUAGUAACUGGCCUUUAUUUGACGGUAAUCAACCAGAAAGUCACGGCUAACUACGU